GUAGAGGAACUAUCUAUAAUAAAAUAUGUGUAUACAUGUCUUCUUCAUUUCUUAAAAAGCCUUAAUAGUUUUCUGAUGGCCAAUCUUAAUAUCAAACAGCUUAAGUUUCAGCAGAUUUAUACAGAGAUAACAAAAAAAAGGAAGCUGCUCUCUUCUUUCUUUGUUUUUCAUAAAUCUCAGAUUCGUCGUAGCGAAGCCAACCUCUUCUCAAGCUCAUCCACUUCACUUGAUUCAGAGCUGCAAGUUAAACUAAGCUGCAGUGGAAGCGGGAGGAGCUGCGGUUUUCGUAGCAAUCCGACCUUUUGGAGCUGAAGAUAACUGUUUAAAACAAAAUGAAAGAGAAGACAUGUUUUAGUGUUCGACUGACCCGAGAAACCAAAAAAGAAGAAAUUACUUUGCUUUUAUGCAGAGAAACCGGACCUGAGAUGCAACACCAACACCAAUCUCAUCAAGAACCUGGUUAGUGAGAUCUUCUGUUUCUUCUUCAGCCUCAUCUUUGUCAAGUGUUUCAUCAAUUGCCUCUGACAUCAUCUCUAUCUGCAAAUCCAACAACACAUCAAUUGUUCAAUGUCAAAUCCUGCAAACUAAUCUGUACUUGUUGGAUAAAGUAAGCUCUUAAGAUUAUGAGAUGUUUCGCUUACCGUCAUGUCUAGCUGUGCCGACUGCUUUUGGAAAUCUUUAAUCACCUUGGCUUGU